AUACGGAGGAUGCGAGCGUUAUCCGGAUUUAUUGGGUUUAAAGGGUGCGUAGGUGGUAGAUUAAGUCAGCGGUGAAAGUUUGUCGCUCAACGAUAAAAUUGCCGUUGAUACUGGUUUACUUGAGUAUAGUUGAAGUAGGCGGAAUGCGUGGUGUAGCGGUGAAAUGCAUAGAUAUCACGCAGAACUCCGAUUGCGAAGGCAGCUUACUAAGUUAUAACUGACACUGAAGCACGAAAGCGUGGGUAUCAAACAGGAUUAGAUACCCUGGUAGUCCACGCAGUAAACGAUGAUUACUAGGUGUAGGGGGUAUCGACUCCCUCUGUGCCGCAGUUAACACAAUAAGUAUUCCGCCUGGGGAGUACGGCCGCAAGGUUGAAACUCAAAGGAAUUGACGGGG
rnacentral:rRNA from 1 species